rnacentral:rRNA from 1 species
AACGAACGCUGGCGGCAGGCCUAACACAUGCAAGUCGAGCGCCGUUUCGGGGGAGCGGCGGACAGGUGAGUAAAGCGUGGGAAUAGGGCCUUCUAUACGGAGAAGCCUCGGGAAACAGAGAGAAAAACAGUAUAAACCAUGGGGAGGAAAGAAUAACCGGGGAAGGAUUAGGUCGCGUAGGAUUAGGUAGUUGGUGGGGUAAAGGCGAAACAAGCCGACGAUCCAUAAGUGGGUUGGGAGGGUGAAGGGCCACACUGGGACUGAGACACGGCCCAGACUCCUACGGGAGGCAGCAGUAGGGACUAUUCCGCAAUGGGCGCAAGCCUGACGGAGCAACGCCGCGUGAGUGAAGAAGGCUUUCGGGUCGUAAAGCUCGGUUGUUAGGGAAGAAUGGAUGUGUCGUAACUAUACAUGUAAGCGACGGUACCUAACCAGAAAGCCACGGCUAACUACGUG